rnacentral:rRNA from 1 species
AUUGCCCUAGUAACGGCGAGUGAAGCGGCAACAGCUCAAAUUUGAAAUCUGGCUCUUUUAGAGUCCGAGUUGUAAUUUGCAGAGGGCGCUUUGGCGUUGGCAGCGGUCCAAGUUCUUUGGAACAGGACGUCACAGAGGGUGAGAAUCCCGUACGUGGUCGCUAUCCUUCGCCGUGUAAAGCCCCUUCGACGAGUCGAGUUGUUUGGGAAUGCAGCUCUAAAUGGGAGGUAAAUUUCUUCUAAAGCUAAAUACUGGCCAGAGACCGAUAGCGCACAAGUAGAGUGAUCGAAAGAUGAAAAGCACUUUGGAAAGAGAGUCAAAUAGCACGUGAAAUUGUUGAAAGGGAAGCGCUUGCAGCCAGACUUGCCUGUAAUUGCUUAUCCGAACUUCUGUUCGGUGCACUCUUCUGCGGGCAGGCCAGCAUCAGUUUGGGCGGUUAGAUAAAGGUCUCUGUCACGUACCUCGCCUCGGUGAGGCCUUAUAGGGGAGACGACAUGUAACCAGCCCAGACUGAGGUCCGCGCAUUUGCUAGGAUGCUGGCGUAAUGGCUGUAAGCGGCCCGUCUUGAAACACGGACCAAGGAGUCUAACAUCUAUGCGAGUAUUUGGGUGUCAAGCCCAAGUGCGUAAUGAAAGUGAACGGAGGUAGGAACCCUUUGGGUGCACUAUCGACCGAUCCUGAUGUCUUCGGAA